CUCGUAGGCGGCUUGUUGCGUCGGUUGUGAAAGCCCGGGGCUUAACCCCGGGUCUGCAGUCGAUACGGGCAGGCUAGAGUGUGGUAGGGGAGAUCGGAAUUCCUGGUGUAGCGGUGAAAUGCGCAGAUAUCGGGAGGAACACCGGUGGCGAAGGCGGAUCUCUGGGCCAUUACUGACGCUGAGGAGCGAAAGCGUGGGGAGCGAACA
rnacentral:rRNA from 1 species